UUUUAUAAGGUAAUAAAUGACUACAUUGCUCAAAAUGUGUCAGAAUUCAUUAAUGAGCCUAAGUUUGCCGAUGAUUGGUUUUAUGAACCGUAUUUAGUCACCAAAGAAGAUUUCUGUUGUUUUUGGGACCUCGGUUUGGUGUAUUUUUAAUCAACAUAAAUGCAGCUUUCUGUUUGAUGAUACAUUUAUUGCAUUAACUGCCAUUUUUUAUACUAAGAGCUCCUACAGCUCAACAGGCAAUUAAAAUAGCUAUGGGUUAUUAUUUUAUACUUAAUGCUAAUUGCUUCAUGUAAUAUCUUUUCAAUAAUGUUUUUAUAGCUCUUUUACUGUGUUAUUCUUGUUGCACUGUAAUGUUGGUAUUAUAUUCCUGGCUUCUUUUUUCUUUUCAUGGCAAUGCAUUACUGGUCCCGUUUUUGUGAGGCUACUUUUAUCUUAAGAUGGACAGCAUUUUGUCGAGUGGAUGUAAAUAACAGCUAAAUCGUUGGUGAUUUUGACCUGGAGUUUAUGGCAACUAUGACGUUAGGCGACUGCAAUGGUUUCACUCGCAUGAACGAACGGAAAGUACCCAAGGAUAAUUUGUUAAAGAAGUAUUUUGGGUGUGCAGCUUCAGAAACUGAAUUCCUUACUGAAUGGUACAUGGUAGAGAGAUUUGGCUUCAUUUACUGUCAGUCAUUUCCUCUGCUUGUACUUUUCAGUUUAGCCUGAGCCUGAAGAGUAACAACUGAAUCAACAGAAGUAUGGAUCUGUACAAUGUUUCAAGGGUUUUCAUCUGUAGAGAUUUCAUUGGGUCCCUAACUCUUGAGAAGGCUGUGGUUGCUUCCCGUAACUCAAAGGUUACAGCCGGUUUUUCAGGACUUUGUGAUUGAGAGUUAACUGUACUAUGUAGUAUUUUGUCUACACAUCUGAGGAGCA